GCAGUGGUGGUUCAGUGGUAGAAUUCUUGCUUUCCAUACUGGAGACCUGGGUUCAAUUCCAGGUCUAUGCA
rnacentral:tRNA from 1 species